UAUCUUAGAAAUGGUUUCUCAGGAAGACAGAGAUACACAAGAAUAAAGCUUUAUUUUUCACAGUUCUGGAGGCAGAAGCACUAGGUCAAGGCACCAGCAAAUUUGGAGCAUAGUGAGGGUCUCCUUGUUCCUAGCUGACACCUUCCCUUGUGGCCUUACAUGGUGCAAGGGGUGAGGGGUCUGCAUGAGCCUUUGAAAAGAGGGCUAAUCCAAUCACGAGGAGCUCAUGCCUGUGAUCUAAUCACCCACCAAGGUCCAUUCCUGGAAUAUCAUCAUCACAUUGGUGGUGAGGAUUUCAACAUACGCAUUUCGUUGAAGAAAGAUUCAGGUCACAGUACCUCUGGGGUACCGAGAGCUUGUGUCUGCUCCUGCAUUAGUGGGGAAGCUGGAGCUGGGGAGAAGCUGGCACUUCUGGCUCUGGACCUGGGAGGAGUCACUUUCGCAGCCAGGGCUGCAGCCAGUGAUAAAGGUAGGUUCUGCACCAGGGCCCCCAGGCCUAGAAUUGCCAGUCCUGGUGUUACAACUGCCAUCCUAUCAGAACAGACACUUCUUUCUCCCUCCUGCCUCCGUGCUGCGGCUGAUCCUGCUCUGUUAGGUCCUCAGCAAGGGAGAAGCCAGUGAGGUCCUCCAACUACGUUAGGUCCUCCAGCAAGCGAGGGGCCUGGGAAGUGCAGAGCACAGGGGCCAGGUGGGGGCUGGACACGCGCGUCUCCAGUGCCCCUCGUAGGAUUCCAGCCCACUUGCCCGCUCUCCGUUGCUUGAGGCCCUGACUCUGCUGCGCUUCAGGGACACCGCCCGCGCUUGUCCACCUGGCUGGCCUUGGCUCAGACUCUGCGUCUCAGGCUACUCUGUCGAAGUGCUUUCCGAGGUCCACGGGGACUGCACAUCCUUCUCACUAGAAGCAACUUUCCAAAGCACAGGCAGUGUAACUGACGUAGGAUUAGGCCACUAACGCAGUGGGUGCUGAGUGAACGAGCCAAUUAAGAAUGAAAGAAUGAACGAGUGACAGGCCUGUCCCUAGGAAAUCUGAACAGUAGGUUGGAGUCUUUUCUCUCUGGAGAUUCUUGCUCUGAGAUCCAGUACGUGUACUUCUCCCAGUCCCACCCAUCACAGAGGCCCGACCCCUCCCAUGUCCUUCCUCUGGACCCUGCCUCUGGUUCUGAAGGGUGUGUAGCUGGAACUCUGUUGUUCAUGGCACAGUCCCCAGCCUUGUGGCGUAAAACACACAGAUGGCUAUUUAUACCCAGGGCUAUUUAUAUAGAAUUUAUGAAAAAAGAGCUAUGUGGUUGAACAAAUUUGGAAAUUUCAGGUUUUAGCAGAUGAAGCAGCAUUCUUUACUGCAGAACUUUUCAGAUCUUCAAGAUGUUAAUGCGACCAUCCAGGCAGGAGAACGUUAGUUACGUUCUCCAGGCUCAAGUAACCACAAAACCUUUCUUUUUAGGAACACUUACGCAGCGUUUUGUAACAGGAGCUCGGGGAGGUGAAUAAGGUCAACUAGGGUCGUGAGGUGGAGUCUCUAAGUGGAGAGGGCUGAUGGCUUCUAAGAAGAGGAAGAGGAAGACAGACCAGCAUGCUCCCCACCCACCCCUGCGCACCCAGGGGAGAGGCCACGUGAGGACACCCUGAGAAGGCAGCCACCUGCAAGUCACAGUGAGAAGCCGCUCUAGAAACAACCUGCUGACACCUUGGUCUUAGAUUUCCAGCCUCCGGGACAGUGAAAAUAAAUUUCUGCCAUUGAAGCCA